UACGUAGGGUGCGAGCGUUGUCCGGAUUUAUUGGGCGUAAAGAGCUCGUAGGCGGUUUGUCGCGUCGGCCGUGAAAAUCGUCCACGCUUAACGUGGAGCGUGCGGUCGAUACGGGCAGACGUUGAGUUCGGUAGGGGAGACUGGAAUUCCUGGAUGUAGCGGUGAAAUGCGCAGAUAUCAGGAGGAACACCGGUGGCGAAGGCGGGUCUCUGGGCCGAUACUGACGC
rnacentral:rRNA from 1 species